rnacentral:rRNA from 1 species
UACGUAGGGUGCGAGCGUUAAUCGGAAUUACUGGGCGUAAAGCGCACGCAAGCGGUUCGCCAAGUUUGGGGUGACAGUUGUCGGCUCAACCGACAAAGGACUUCAAAAACUGGUGAACUUGAGGACGAGAGAGGAACAUGGAACUCCAGGUGUAGUAGUGAAAUGCGUAGAUAUCUGGAAGAACACUAAUGGCGAAGGCAAUGUUCUGGCUCGUUUCUGACGCUCAGGUGCGAAAGCCAGGGGAGCGAACGGG